UACGAAGGGGGGCUAGCGUUGUUCGGAAUUACUGGGCGUAAAGCGCACGUAGGCGGAUAUUUAAGUCAGGGGUGAAAUCCCAGAGCUCAACUCUGGAACUGCCUUUGAUACUGGGUAUCUUGAGUAUGGAAGAGGUAAGUGGAAUUCCGAGUGUAGAGGUGAAAUUCGUAGAUAUUCGGAAGAACACCAGUGGCGAAGGCGGCUCACUGGACCGGUAUUGACGCUGAUGUGCGAAAGCGUGGGGAGCAAACAGG
rnacentral:rRNA from 1 species